UCCUGAAGCUAUAAUAACUAUUUUUUGUGCACUUGAUGCCUUAAUUGUUGACUUUGGAGGUCCUGAAGCCCUUGGUCCUGAAAUUUCAUGAAUUGCUUUUGGUGGUCCUGAAGCUAUAAUAACUGUUUUUGAUCCACUUGAUGCCUUAAUUGUUGACUUCGGAGGUCCGGAAGCCCUUGGUCCUGAAAUUUCAUGAAUUGAUUUUGGUGGUCCUGAAGCUAUAAUAACUGUUUUUGAUCCACUUGAUGCCUUAAUUGUUGACUUCGGAGGUCCUGAAGCCCUUGGUCCUGAAAUUUCAUGAAUUGAUUUUGGUGGUCCUGAAGCUAUAAUAACUGUUUUUGAUCCACUUGAUGCCUUAAUUGUUGACUUCGGAGGUCCUGAAACCCUUGGUCCUGAAAUUUCAUGAAUUGCUUUUGGUGGUCCUAAAGCUAUAAUAACUGUUUUUGAUCCACUUGAUGCCUUAAUUGUUGACUUCGGAGGUCCUGAAGCCCUUGGUCCUGAAAUUUCAUGAAUUGAUUUUGGUGGUCCUGAAGCUAUAAUAACUGUUUUUGAUCCACUUGAUUCCUUAAUUGUUGACUUCGGAGGUCCUGAAGCCCUUGGUCCUGAAAUUUCAUGAAUUGAUUUUGGUGGUCCUGAAGCUAUAAUAACUGUUUUUUGUGCACAAGAUGGUGGUUUUGGACCUGCAGUUGCAUGAGAUGGUG
rnacentral:lncRNA from 1 species